AUUGAACGCUGGCGGCAGGCCUAACACAUGCAAGUCGAGCGGAGCGGCGGACGGGUGAGUAAUGCCUAGGAAUCUGCCUGGUAGUGGGGGAUAACGUCCGGAAACGGGCGCUAAUACCGCAUACUAUCAGAUGAGCCUAGGUCGGAUUAGCUAGUUGGUGGGGUAAAGGCCUACCAAGGCGACGAUCCGUACCUGGUCUGAGAGGAUGAUCAGUCAACCGGAACUGGGAACACGUGCCAACCCCCUAGGGGGGGAAGCGGGGGGAAAUAUGGGACAAUGGGGAAAAGCCUGUCCCAGCCAGGCCGCGUGUGUGAAGAGGGUCUUGGGAUGGUAAAGCACUUUAAGUUGGGAGGCGUAACCACAGAAUAAGCACCGGCUAACUUCGUGCCAGCAGCCGCGGUAAUAC
rnacentral:rRNA from 1 species